rnacentral:rRNA from 1 species
UUAGGAAUCUUGCGCAAUGGGGGAAACCCUGACGCAGCCAUGCCGCGUGAAUGAUGAAGGUCUUAGGAUUGUAAAAUUCUUUCAGCGGGGACGAUAAUGACGGUACCCGCAGAAGAAGCCCCGGCUAACUUCGUGCCAGCAGCCGCGGUAAUACGAAGGGGGCUAGCGUUGCUCGGAAUUACUGGGCGUAAAGGGCGCGUAGGCGGAUGUUUAAGUCAGAGGUAAAAGCCCAGGGCUCAACCUUGGAACUGCCUUUGAUACUGGACAUCUUGAGUACGGGAGAGGUGUGUGGAACUCCGAGUGUAGAGGUGAAAUUCGUAGAUAUUCGGAAGAACACCAGUGGCGAAGGCGACACACUGGCCCGUUACUGACGCUGAGGCGCGAAAGCGUGGGGAGCAAACA